rnacentral:rRNA from 1 species
UACGUAGGUGGCAAGCGUUGUCCGGAUUUACUGGGCGUAAAGAGCGCGUAGGCGGUCGUUCAAGUCGCGUGUGAAAGCCCCCGGCUCAACUGGGGAGGGUCACGCGAUACUGAUCGACUCGAAGGCAGGAGAGGGAAGUGGAAUUCCCGGUGUAGUGGUGAAAUGCGUAGAUAUCGGGAGGAACACCAGUGGCGAAGGCGACUUCCUGGCCUGUUCUUGACGCUGAGGCGCGAAAGCUAGGGGAGCAAACGGG